AGAGUUUGAUCCUGGCUCAGGAUGAACGCUAGCGGCAGGCUUAACACAUGCAAGUCGAGGGGCAGCGAGAUCAGUGCUUGCACUGAUUGUCGGCGACCGGCGCACGGGUGCGUAACGCGUAUGCAACCUACCCAUUACAGGGGGAUAACACUGAGAAAUCGGUACUAAUACCCCAUAACAUCCAGGGAGGCAUCUUCUUGGGUUGAAAACUCCGGUGGUAAUGGAUGGGCAUGCGUUGUAUUAGUUAGUUGGUGGGGUAACGGCUCACCAAGACCACGAUACAUAGGGGGACUGAGAGGUUAACCCCCCACAUUGGUACUGAGACACGGACCAAACUCCUACGGGAGGCAGCAGUGAGGAAUAUUGGUCAAUGGACGCAAGUCUGAACCAGCCAUGCCGCGUGCAGGAAGACGGCUCUAUGAGUUGUAAACUGCUUUUGUACGAGGGUAAACGCAGAUACGCGUAUCUGUCUGAAAGUAUCGUACGAAUAAAGAUCGGCUAACUCCGUGCCAGCAGCCGCG
rnacentral:rRNA from 1 species